ensembl:lncRNA LINC01902 long intergenic non-protein coding RNA 1902
GAUAUUUCCCUAUUCUGAGUGCUUGGAGCUCUUGGAGUCUCUUACAUCUAAUGUGAUCAUUAAGAGGUACUAACUGUCUGAUUGCUUCUUGUGUGCAGCUAACUCACUGGUGACCCAGCACUUUGGGAGGAUGAGGAGGGUGGAUCACAAGGUCAGGAGUUCGAGACCAGCCUGGCCAACAUGAUGAAACCCCGUCUCUACUAAAAAUACAAAAAUUAGCCAGGCGUGGUGGCAUGCACCUGUAUUCCCAGCUACUUGGGACACUGAGGCAGGAGACUUGCUUGAACCCGGGAGGCAGAGGUUGCAGUGAGCCAAGAUCGUGCCACUGCACUCCAGCCUGGGCGACAGAGUGAGACUCCAUCUCAAAAAUAAGUAAAUGAAUAAAUAAAAAUAAAAUAGAUUGAGCCUCCACAUUUUGCAUGCAGCUUUCUUGGUGCUUGUCCUUCUCCUGUGCUUACUCAAAGAUGGGACAUUGUGCACAAUGAGAAGAGUAUUGGGACCAGUAAGGAAGAAUGAGUCAGAUAUUGUGGGACCUCUUUUUUUGUUGUUUUUUUUUGCUCCCAGAAAUCUUUGAGGUAAGUAACAUAGUCAAUUGAGGUCUGGAGUUAUGUACUCCAUUUAUUCAUUUUUUCUUAACAUAGUCCCUCCUUACUAUGUGAUAUUCUCUGUCCUAGACCUUGAAAAUACAAGUUAAAUAUGGCAUAUUCUUUACCUCUAUGAGCUUAAAAUUGAGUGGGGAAAGUUUCAUUUUUUCUUUGAAAUGAAAACAAACUUAAGUACCGAUAUGCAUGAGAAAAAUAAAUUGUUCAUUUCUUUACCUACAUCUCAUCAGGAGUAAACACAUUCUCUCUCUGGCUAAGCCAAAUAUACCAUAAAUCCCUCCUAAAAAAAUACCCUGAAAUUGAGAAUCCAAUUUUAAUGGCUAAAUUAUAUUUACCUUGAACUGAGCAUUUUCUAUUAGGAUUUACGUAUGCAUCUUGGGGAUUCUGAAUGUUGGACUUUUUUUUCUUUUUUCUUUUAGAUUUUAACCUGAAUGGAAAAGACAAUAUGAGGGUGAUGAAAGACUCUAGAUGGUCCGUCUUGGAGAGAAGGUUUUGCCGUCUUGCCCCAGUUGGUCUCGAACUCCCGGGCUCAAGCAAUCCACCUGCCUUGGCCUCCCAAAGUGCUGGGAUUACAGACGUGAGCCACCAUACCCUGUCCAGUUUGGAAAUUUCUUACAAAGCUAAACCUAGUCUUAGAAUACAUUCCUGCAAUUGUUCUCUUAGGUAUUUUCUCAACUUACUUGAAAACUUCCAUCCAUAUAAAAAUGGGCACUCUCUAUACAAUCACCUCAAAGUGACUUUAAUCCUUAUUAAUGUAUGAUUCUUCACACACCUCCGGAGUCCAUUAUUGAAUAUUUUAUAGUUCAGGGCCUUUUAGCUCCUAAGCAUUCUUCCCACUGGGCAUCUGUUCCUGUAACGUGGAUUCACACUGCAUAUUCAGUCCCGCUCAAACUGACCAGCGUUAUGAUGUGUUCUUCUCUGCAAUGUGCCCUCAAACAAAACGAAUUGAAUCCUUUCAUGUUUUUACAUUUCUUUAGUUAAUUAUUAGGAGGUAUUGGAGUUGGUGCUACCCUGUGAAUAGAAAAUGUAAGAGGAUAUCUCCGGAUACUCCUGCCCCCUCUUUGAAAUGUGACCAUUUUGAUGUGGAGGAAAUUGUGCUGCUCUUGCUAAGUUAGCCAAAGGAAUUGAUCUGCUUGUAGAAAGUCCACACUGACUAUGAGGCAGACCUGCAAAGGCUGAUGGGGAUACUGUCUUGCAUUGGGUUAGGCAAAGCUGAGUCUUCCUUUAUAUUAAAAUAUUAUGAACUGGCACCUAAAGAGCCAACACUCAGAACUGACCAAACCCAAUCAAGAUGUUCCCUUGUUGUUACUAAAUUAUACUAAUUUGAAUUUACUAAUACUAUUCCCCAAAAGGGAGCUAUAUUUACAUUCUCCUAUUACUGAAGUAACAUCAAUAGGUCAGAGGGAAAUGGAAACGUUCUUAUUUUUCUUUAUAUAUAAGAUAGCUGAGUGAAUAGGUGUUCUCACGUCUAUCUCUAGU